rnacentral:rRNA from 1 species
UUGACCUCGGAUCAGGUAGGGAUACCCGCUGAACUUAAGCAUAUCAAUAAGCGGAGGAAAAGAAACCAACCGGGAUUGCCUCAGUAACGGCGAGUGAAGCGGCAAGAGCUCAAAUUUGAAAGCUGGCUCCUUCGGAGUCCGCAUUGUAAUUUGCAGAGGAUGCUUUGGGUGCGGCCCCCGUCUAAGUGCCCUGGAACGGGCCGUCAGAGAGGGUGAGAAUCCCGUCUUGGGCGGGGUGUCCGUGCCCGUGUAAAGCUCCUUCGACGAGUCGAGUUGUUUGGGAAUGCAGCUCUAAAUGGGUGGUAAAUUUCAUCUAAAGCUAAAUACUGGCCGGAGACCGAUAGCGCACAAGUAGAGUGAUCGAAAGAUGAAAAGCACUUUGAAAAGAGAGUUAAACAGCACGUGAAAUUGUUGAAAGGGAAGCGCUUGCGACCAGACUCGCCCGCGGGGUUCAGCCGGCAUUCGUGCCGGUGUACUUCCCCGUGGGCGGGCCAGCGUCGGUUUGGGCGGCCGGUCAAAGGCCCCUGGAAUGUAGUACCCUCCGGGGUACCUUAUAGCCAGGGGUGCAAUGCGGCCAGCCUGGACCGAGGAACGCGCUUCGGCACGGACGCUGGCAUA